UACGUAGGGUGCAAGCGUUGUCCGGAAUUAUUGGGCGUAAAGAGCUCGUAGGCGGUCUGUUGCGUCGGCUGUGAAAACCCGAGGCUCAACCUCGGGCCUGCAGCCGAUACGGGCAGACUAGAGUUUGGCAGAGGAGACUGGAAUUCCUGGUGUAGCAGUGAAAUGCGUAGAUAUCAGGAGGAAUACCGAUGGCGAAGGCAGGUCUCUGGGCUAGAACUGACGCUCAUGCACGAAAGCGUGGGGAGCAAACAGG
rnacentral:rRNA from 1 species